rnacentral:pre_miRNA from 1 species
UGUCUACUCCCUCUGUCCCAAAAUUAUUGUCUUAAAUUUGCCUAGAUACUGAAUGUAUCUAAUUAUGUUUUAGUAUUUAGAUACAUUCAUUUCUAGGCAAACUUGAGACAAGAAUUUGGGGACGGAGAAAUAUAAA